AUUGAACGCUGGCGGCAUGCCUAACACAUGCAAGUCGAACGGCAGCACGGGUGCUUGCACCUGGUGGCGAGUGGCGAACGGGUGAGUAAUGCACCGGAACGUAUCCAAUAAUGGGGGAUAACGCACCGAAAGGUGUGCUAAUACCGCAUACGCCCUGAGGGGGAAAGCGGGGGAUCGUAAGACCUCGCGUUAAUGGAGCGGCCGAUGCCGGAUUAGCUAGUUGGUGAGGUAAAGGCUCACCAAGGCGACGAUCCGUAGCUGGUCUGAGAGGACGACCAGCCACACUGGAACUGAGACACGGUCCAGACUCCUACGGGAGGCAGCAGUGGGGAAUUUUGGACAAUGGGCGCAAUCCUGAACCAGCAAUGCCGCGUGUGGGAUGACAGGGCUUCGCCUUGUAAACCACUGUCGGACGGGACGAAAGGAGGCCUCGGGCCUCUGGGACGGUACCGUCAAAGGAAGGUCGGCUAACUACGUGCCA
rnacentral:rRNA from 1 species